rnacentral:sRNA from 1 species
AGCGCAACAGACCGGUAGAAAA